UCCAUCAUUGUCUCAUCUUGAUCCCCGUACUUCCAUUUGUGAGCAAGAAGUACAAAAGAUCAUUCAUUUGCAGAAAAUUACAAAUCAAAUGCCAGACGCAUUUACAGAUUUGAAAAGGAUUACUAAAUCACAUAUUCCUGCAAAGAAUGUCCCAAUUCGAAUUGAUGUCCCUGUAGAACCAUCUACUAGUGUCAUAGCUAGUGAGUCAAAAGCACGCCUGAAGUGUGGUAGACCAUUAGGUUCAAAGGAUCAAAAUCCUAGAAAAAGAAAAUUAAAAGAUUAAAAUGACACUAUGAAAAAACCUCACAUAGAAAGUCAAGAUGUGAAUAAUUCUGGUAUCCUUGAAGGGAUCAAUGAGCUUGAGACUCAAGAAAAUAAUGAACUAUCCAUAACAUCAAGUGAUGAUGAAACAAAUCUGAAUCGAUCAGAAAUAGCGGUGGAUUAUGUUUUUGCAUACAAUGUUGCAUAAAAAAUUAUGCAAAAUAGUGAGGAUUUUGAACCUCAAUUUGUUGUAGAAUGUCGACAAAGAAAUGAUUGGCCAAAAUGGCAAGAGCAAUUCAAUCAGAAUUGAAUUCACUUGUCAAACACGAAGUUUUUGUGCCUAUAGUACAAACACCUAAUGGUAUUAAACCUGUUGGCUAUAAAUGGAUUUUUAUGCGGAAAAGGAAUGAGAAAAAUGAAAUACAAAGGUACAAAGCACGUCUUGUUGCAUAAGGAUUUUCUCAAAGGCCUGGCGUCGAUUAUGAAGAGACAUACUCACCUGUUAUGGAUGCAAUAACAUUGCGUUAUCUCAUUAAUUUCAUGAUCCAUGAGAGGCUUGAAAUGCAUUUGAUGGAUGUGGUUACAACCUAUCUUUAUGGAUCACUCGAUAAUGAUAUCUACAUGAAAAUUCCUGAAGGAUUCAAAAUGCCCAAAGCAUACAAUUCAAAGUCUCGGAAAAUGUACUCAGUUAGAUUGCAAAGAUCAUUGUAUAGUUUGAAGCAAUCUGGAUGUAUGUGGUAUAACUGUCUUAGUGAGUAUUUAUCUAAGGAAGGUUAUAUAAAUGAUGCGAUUUGUCCCUGUGUGUUUAUAAAGAAGGCAAUGUCAGAGUUUGUUGUACUUGUUGUUUAUGUUGAUGGCAUAAACCUUAUUGGAACUCCAAUGGAACUUCAUAGGGUAAUCGAAUAUUUGAAGAACGAUUUUGAGAUGAAAGAUCUCGGAAAGACAAAAUUAUGUCUUGGUUUGCAAAUAGAGCAUUUGAUAAACGGUAUCUUUGUUCAUCAAUCUGCAUACACAGAAAAAGUGUUGAAAAGAUUUUAUAUGGAUGCAACACAUCCAUUAAGUACUCCAAUGAUUGUUCGAUCACUUGAUGUGAAUAAAGAUCCAUUUCGACCUUAAGAAAAGAAUGAGGAAAUUCUUAGUCCUGAAGUACCAUAUCUCAGUGCAAUUGGUGCAUUAAUGUAUCUUGCUAACACUACAAGGCCUGAUAUAACCUUUUCGGUUAAUUUGUUAGCAAGAUAUAGUUCUGCUCCUAUUAGGAGACAUUGGAAUGGGAUCAAACACAUAUUGCGGUAUCUAAAAGGGACUAUCGAUAUGGGCUUAUUCUAUUCUAACGAUUGCAGUCCAAACCUUGUUGGUUAUGUUGAUGCAGGAUAUCUAUCUUACCCACAUAAAGCCCGAUCUCAAACAAAUUACGUAUUCAUAUGUGGGGGUACUGCCAUAUCUUCGAGAUUUACGAAGCAAUCUAUUGUGGCCACUUCAUCAAAUCAUGCUGAGAUAAUAGCUAUUCAUGAAGCAAAUCGAGAAUGUGUGUGGUUAAGGUCCAUAAUACACCUUAUUCGAGAAAAAUGUGGUUUGAAAUGCGACAAAGUACCCACAAUUUUAUAUGAGGAUAAUGCAGCAUGCAUAACACAACUCAGGGGAGAAUUCAUAAAAAGGAGAUAGAACGAAACACAUUUCACCGAAGUUCUUCUAUACACACAUGAGCUCCAGAAGAAUGGUGAUAUCAACGUACAUCAGAUUCGUUCGAGUGAUAAUGUGGCUGGUUUAUUCACUAAGUCUUUGCCAAUCGCAACUUUCGAGAAGAUGGUAUACAAGAUUGGAAUGAGAAAACUUGGAUAACUAAAUCGUGAUUUUCAUCAGGGGAGUAAAAUACGCGCUGUACUCUUUUUUCCUUAAUCAAGGUUUUAUCCCACUAGGUUUUCCUGAUAAGGUUUUUAAUGAGGCAGCAAGUAAUGCGUAUUAGUAACAACUAUUUAUACUUGUUACUUUACUAAGAAUUUUAUUUUACAUGGACAUCCAAGGGGGAGUGUUGUAAAUGGAUUAAUGAAUGUCCAUUAUACCCUUCUUAUGCCUAUAUAAAAGACAUUGUAACUUGUAUGGAAAAACACACAAAAAUUUCCUAUUUUAUCUCUCUACUACAUUCUUCUCUUCUUGGUUGUUAUUAGUUUAAUUUUAUUACUUAGUCUUUAUUUUAUAACAAGUACAAUUAUUAACCGAAUUUUGCUUAAGAUACUCAAAGCUUUUAAUUUCUGAUAUUUCGAGAGUGCCCCUUGGUCGGCAAGCAAGCAUGACGACCUUGCUUGAGUUAGUCUCUUAUACUAGAUCAGUGCAGCCCGUGCUAUGCACGGGCCCAACAAAUUAUUUGUAUUACAAAAUUAUAAGGAAUGCAAAUUUAUAUUUACAAAUAUACUACAAAAUUGCCUCUUAGGUAUGGAGGAAGGCCAAUAGCCCUUUGUUGUUUGUAUGAAAGUUUAAGUAAAAUAAGAAACUAAAAGUUCUUACAACAUUUGAUAAGAAAAAGUAAACAAACAAUGUAGAUUCAAACUGCACAACAUGAAUAAAUGUAUUAAUGAUCUCCUAAUUAAGUUACCAAAAUUGUUGAUAAACAGAUCAACACACAAUCUCUAGAAAAUAAUUAAUCAAAUAAUAUGCUCAAAAAUACAUUUCAAUCUAAAUAUAUUAAAAUUUGUCAACCGAUAAAAUAAAACAGGGAUAAAGACAACACUGUUAAUUCAGUACCUAGCCACUUGAAACUUUAUUUCACAUCAUCAAUAAAUAAUAUCACCAAAAAAGAUUUAUAUAUAUAUUUAUCUAUAAAAAAUUGAUAGGUUUGAAACGUUCAGCAUUUUUUAAGCAACCAUCAUACAACAUGAAGCUACUUGUUCACAAAAUUUCAGUACCAUGACAAUUUGCAGCUUUUUCUGUACUCUUCAUGAGUUAAUCUAAGAUUACGUGUAUUUUGCACUUCCAAUUUGAUUCAGUAUUGUCCCUAAAAUUAAAAAGGAUCUUAGUACUUGCUCCUUAGGUUCAUUAGAUCAAUAAUAGUGACAACAUCCAAGUAUAUUAAUCUAAUGCAAGGUGUCAUACACUAAAAAAAGAAAAAGAAAAGGAAUAAAAAACUCAGAUACACAUCUAAGAUCUGAGCUUCUAAUGUAUAAACAUUAUAACAAAAAGAAUUGAAUUGAAGAGCAUAUGAAGGUUCAGAUAGCGAAAAGACAAUCAUAAUCACGGUAGAAAAUAUAAUGUGAAUAGAUUAUUACUGUUAAAGAAGUAAAGAAAAGAAUAGUCGUUAGGGUCCGCAUUAAAUAUAACUACAAUAGAAACAUUUGUUCCUACAACUAAUUUUGUCAAGGUAUCCAUAGCAAAAUCAUGAAAGCAUGCAAGAUUAUUGAUUAAAACUAUACAUGUUGCCUCAAAAAAGUAAUAAAAGAACUAUACAAAUAUCUAAUAUUGAAAAAUCUACACAAAGUUCAUCAAAAAACUUGAAUAACUAAGGGUCAGAAGAAUUUUCAAAUUUAAUGUGGUGCUAAUAAGAGGAAGAGGUUCCAAAUGAUGCAGAGAUAAAAUGUUUCAAGGAAUAAAUAAAUAAAAACCUAAAAGAUAAAUUUGGAAAUACAAUAAGCAUCAAACUUAAGUCGAAAAGAAAAGAUUUCCCAUCAAAUCCAAUCACAAAGAAUGUACCACACUUACAUGUAGUAGUGUAACAUAUAGCAAGACUGGUGGAUCAAUUAAAGUGAAGACUCUAGAUUAAUCAAGUCCUAAAUGAGGUACAUUCAAUUGGGUUAAAGAUUAUGCAGCUGCCUUAUGCGGCUAAUCCAUUAGGAAAUGUUGAUACUUUAGGCAACUUUUUAAAUAAUUUUUCAUUGAUAAAUUCCCUUCCUGAUUUUUGUAAUAUCAAUAUCAAAAUACAUUAUACGUAUUUCAGUAAGUUUAGCUAUAAUAGAAGAAAUGAAGAUGAAUAAUCAUAAAAUUCAUUCAAUAGAGAUAAACCUGCUCCAAGUUACCAUUGAUCUCUAUUGUACAACCUUAAAUUCAUGAAAAUACCCUUAAAGAAACAAACACAACUGUAAAAUCUAAUUAAAAGAACAAAAUAUAAAAAAGUUGAAAUGAAAAAAGUGAUGAUAUAAGUAUAAAUGUUAAUCUUAUUCUUUGUUAACAUUGUUCAGUCGAUUCUUAGAACCAUCAGACAUGAUUUUUUCUCCUGCACAUAUACAAAUUAUCAUUUGACAUAUAAAAAGUGCUAAGCUAAGUUUGCGACUAUCUGAUGGCCCAAUAUUUUAUAUUGAGAAUAGCUUGUCAAAUGACUAACAAUAUAUAUUAACCAUCUUAUCCAUCCUAAAAUACAUUUGUCGACAUCUAAUAUAUUAAUCUCAUCAAAGUCGCUCUCUUACAUUUAAAACUUUGAAUGUUAAAUAUAUAUGUACCUUUUGAUGUUUGAACUCAACACCUUCCACCAACUCCAAAAGGUGAAAGGAGGUGGAAUAAUUAGUGAUUCUCUUAGUAUACACAUUCACGACACAAUGAAGUGUUAGAACUUGUACCAUGACAUAGCCAAAGUAGAAAAUAUCUUGCAUGUAUAAAGAAAAAAAAAUUGAAAUAUAAGAUGCAGCAUACUUGAUUUAGGCAUCUGGAGUAUUCAGUAGUAGUAAAUUCAUUCAGUAACAACUUUCAAGCAACAAUCUUCUCCAUUUACCAUUUUAAUUAUAGAAAUCAGGCCCAUAGAGUUAAGGGUUAAAAAAAUUUUAAAAAAAGAAGUAGUUCAGCAACAUUAACUCUUUUAGUUUCUACCACUACCUGCCUGUACAUGACAUAUAUAGGCUUAGCUUUUAGUUUUUUUUGGAUUCGUGGUGGUUCAGAAAAGAGUAGGAAUGCUAUCAGUUACUUGUUUAACUUUUAAAAAAAAAUUGUUCAACUAAACUCAUAGAGAGUUGCGGAAAGGAUGAGAAGAAUUUCUUACCGAGUUACUUUGAAAUGCAUCGUCGAACGGGUUCUACCAACUGCAUUUGCAGUAUGGCUGACCGCAGUUCUUCGAAAGAUGCUCAACUGAAUAUUUUGUGGGAGAAACAUUUAAAAAAUUGGUAUGCAUCUAUAGAUAUUGCUGCUCAUAGAUAAUGGCAUUACCAUAUUGCCUUGAGAAAUGGUGCUUUCAUAACAUUUAUUCAAGAAAGCGACUGCCUUUGCUGUGAUGCUCUCUAGCAGGAGCCCAACCACUUAAAGUUUGAUAGAUAUCCAAUAGAAAACAUGAAGAACGUAAUAGACAACGGAGUAAGCGAAAGCAUAUAAAAUCACAUGCUAUUAUUUUAUAAGCUUGCUAAAUUAGGUAAAAGUAAGUAUCAGACAAAGAUCUCCACCAAAAAAGAACCCAAAAAAUGCCAAAAACUACAUAAAGGAAUUUCCACUAUAACAAGCAACCAAAAACACAUAAAAGUCCAUAGCAGACUAAGGUCAGAGCAUAUUACCUUGAUAUCACUUCCACAAAAAAGUAUGUAUUCAUAAAUCUUGUAUGCUGAUAAACAGACAACACUACAAAUACUGAUGAGAGAGUAAGCUCAUGUCCUAUUCCAUCCCAUUUAACCUGUACAACACAAAAACAAAAUGCAUCAAUGACCACCUAUUUAAGCUACUACAAUGUUAAUAAGAUUAAAUGCAUCAAGACACAAUUCCAUGAAGCACAUCUAGACCUAUCAGCCACUCAUACCUCCAAGGAAAUAAUCAAUAACAAGCUAAAAAUAUAUUGUGGAUUAAAUUGAUCACAUGUGUCAAGUGAACAAUAAGAAGAGAUAGAAUUUUUUUUUCUAUAUAUCUGAUUCAACUUAGUUAGUUACAUUAAUCUAAGUUGCUUGGCAAUGGAAAGGAAGCAUUGACAACUUAUCAUGAGAGCUUGAAGAAUGUUUAGAACGAAAAUCACAACACAGAAGGGGCAAUCAAAAGGAUUUCAUGUAGGGAAGGAUGACCAUGAGAAGAAACAAUGUAAUAAAAAGGAAGUCGUAAAUUUAAGGUCUCUACUAAUGAAUUGUGCACAGGUUAUUGUUACCGAUGAUUAGCACACAAAAGAACACUCCAUUCUAUAUAAUUAAAACUCAAUUCAGAUUUUCUCUAAUGCAAUCCAACAUCAUAUAAUAUUGCUAUAUUUUAGCACUGACGAAUGUCUGUAGGGCAUACCUAUAUAACAGAAAAAACAAAAUGUACAUAGGUCAUACUAAUAUAUUUACUUGUAUAAUUUGAUCAGUAUAAUAGAGUGAAGAGAAAUGACUUAACUAAGAAUCAAGCUGAUAAUGCCAUGAAACAAUAUAUCAUAAUGUAAAGACCAAAUAAGCAACAAAAUUGAUUACUCAAUUUUAUUAGAAGCAUCCAUGAGGUUCCAAAUAUUAGUUGCAUAAUUAUGAAUGCAUAUAUUUGUAGCAUAGCAUGACAACAGAGAAGAAUACAUGUAUAAUAGAGUGAAGAGAAAUGACUUAACUGAGAAUCAAGCUGAUAAUGCCAUGAAACAAUAUAUCAUAAUGUAAAGACCAAAUAAGCAACAAAAUUGAUUACUCAAUUUUAUUAGAAGCAUCCAUGAGGUUCCAAAUAUUAGUUGCAUAAUUAUGAAUGCAUAUAUUUGUAGCAUAGCAUGACAACAGAGAAGAAUACAUAUAAAUGUUGGACAAGAAUUUCUUACCAAAGUAAUACUGGCACCAGCCCACUGUAUCCAAGAAUUGUUUGGAAAGCUGAAGAAAUCAUUAUAGCUCCCUGCAACUCCUUUAUGAUUUGUUUGAAAUUCUACAAGUAGGAGAAUCUGAUUCAUAAAUGGUUGAAGUAGUAAUACGAUAAAACAAAUUGAACAGAGAGAAAAUUAAGCCACAUUAUUCUUACCUACCUUUGUGAUAUGUCAAUAUUAAUCUCAACGUUGCCUCAAUAAUAUGAAUCAUAAAAAGCUAUUAGCACUCUCUUUAUGAGUCAUUUCGAUAAAUUUAUAUGAUAUAUUAAAUAGCAUUUUUCAUUACUAUGUAAUGAGUGAAAAAAGUUCAUAAUAUUUUCAUCACUGAACAAACCACAUCACAAUAUAUGAUCAUUCGAACUUCUUUACUCUCCGCAAAUCAUAACAAAUUAAAUGAGCAUCAGCUGAUGUAUUAGAAAAGAAAAAGAUAACUACAUAUACCAAUUAAGAAGCCUGCCAUAUUUUUCUUGUUUAACUUUUUUUAAGAAAAAAAUUAUAAUCUAGAGUUGUCUAAGUCUUUGAUCAGAACUAUUCAAUCCAAUCGUAACCUAUUUUCAUAUGUGGUUGAAAAAUCUUCGUUUAGUUUCAUUAUGCAAUAUAAAAGUUAAGAACUAAAAAAAUAAACAUCCAAUGUAAUGGUAUGUUCUGCCCUUAAGCAAAUACUCUUCUACUUAGUAGUUAGUACUUACUUUAAAUUUUUCUUUCAUUAAUCAAGAUAGACACUUUGUAACUUAUUUUAUCGCUAAAUUUAUGGAAAUGUAAAUCCAAAGUUCCAACUUCCACACUAACCUCUUCUACCGCAUGCUUAACACUAUCUAAUUACAAAAAUCAAUUUAGAUAAGAUAAUAAAUCCCUCAUACAGAUUAACAGAAAAAAUAAAAUAAAAGUUGGACAAAUAUUGAAUGAGGAGUAGAACUGAAACAAUCAACACCCAACGAAGAAGUUUUUUAUUUUUUGUAGAUCACCCAACUAAGAAGUUGAAUGAACUGAAAAAGUAUUAUCUAAAAUAUAAGAAAAUUAAAAAAAAGAAAAAAAAAGAAAGGGGUAAAUCAAUCGUCUCUCUGCAAACAUGAAAAAAGUUGAAAGAAAAAAUACAUGAAAAUGUACCAUUCAACUGCGGAGAUGAAGAGAAUUGAAAGAGUAUCUUGAAAUCUGAAGAGAUUAUAAUAACUUAGGAAGAAAUCCUUGUUUGUCUGCUAGCAAAACAACAUCAAUAACAACUGAGAAAAUAGCAAGGAAAAUCCUACUUCUCCUCAACCCAAAAUUUCAGUUUCAGGUUUUCUCAACCCAAAAUUCCAAUCUACAGCAUCAACUAAGAAAUUUCGAGAAGAAGAUUUGAGCGGAGAUUGAGAAGAAGCCAUACCUUAAAUUGCAAGAAAUUCUUUAAAUUUAUUUAAGGAGAAUUGGCAUAGUACUCCUCUCUUCUCUUGGAAAAUGAAACGAACGUUUAUAGAGUAUGUGUGUCCUCCAAUGGAAGAACUCUGGAAGCUCCCAGAAUGAAAGAGACAGUUUCAGACUUUCAGUCUCCAACUUGAAAAUAUCAUGGAGUGAAA
rnacentral:lncRNA from 1 species